CCUACGGGAGGCAGCAGUGAGGAAUAUUGGUCAAUGGACGGAAGUCUGAACCAGCCAUGCCGCGUGCAGGAAGACGGCUCUCUGAGUUGUAAACUGCUUUUGUACAAGGGUAAACCUGAAUUCGUGUAUUCAGCUGUAUGUACUGUACGAGUAAGGGUCGGCUAACUUCGUGCCAGAAGCCGCGGUAAUACGGAGGAUCUCAGCGUUAUCCGGAUUUAUUGGGUUUAAAGGGUGCGUAGGCGGAUUGAUAAGUUAGAGGUGAAAUGUCCGAGCUUAACUCGGGAACUGCCUCUAAUACUGGUGAUCUAGAGAGUAGAUGCGGUAGGCGGAAUGUAUGGUGUAGCGGUGAAAUGCUUAGAGAUCAUACAGAACACCGAUUGCGAAGGCAGCUUACCAAUCUAUAUCUGACGUUGAGGCACGAAAGCGUGGGGAGCAAACAGGAUUAGAUACCCUUGUAGUC
rnacentral:rRNA from 1 species